rnacentral:tRNA from 1 species
GGAUGUAUAUUUUAAAUUAGAAUAUCAGUUUUGCAAUUUGAAGGUGUUUGCUUCCA